CGGCGGACGGGUGAGUAACACGUGGAUAACCUACCUAUAAGACUGGGAUAACUUCGGGAAACCGGAGCUAAUACCGGAUAAUAUAUUGAACCGCAUGGUUCAAUAGUGAAAGACGGUUUUGCUGUCACUUAUAGAUGGAUCCGCGCCGCAUUAGCUAGUUGGUAAGGUAACGGCUUACCAAGGCAACGAUGCGUAGCCGACCUGAGAGGGUGAUCGGCCACACUGGAACUGAGACACGGUCCAGACUCCUACGGGAGGCAGCAGNU
rnacentral:rRNA from 1 species